ensembl:lncRNA novel transcript
CUAGAAUGGGAAUGUCUCUCUGUGGUAUGCAAGCAAUGCCUCCACUAACUGACUGCCCAGGCUAUGAAGUCGAGACCAUGAAGAUCACCAUUCUACACUCCGUGUCCCCUGCUUUCUCUGUGAAAAUGUUUCAGCAGAGACAUGUAGUAAAAUUAAACCUGUGAACUGUUUUAUCACAACCCUUCAGCUAUGAAAGCCCUGAGCCACUGAGUCUGAAUAAGAGUACAACCAACUCUUGCAGAAAACACAGUUUUUUCAUGUGUACGUGGAGCAUUAACCAAAACCAACCUUUGUCAAGGCAUAAAAUAUAUCACAAUAAACACCAAAUAAAUGAAA